UACGGGGGGGGCAAGCGUUGUUCGGAAUUACUGGGCGUAAAGGGCUCGUAGGCGGCCAACUAAGUCGGACGUGAAAUCCCCAGGCUCAACCUGGGAACUGCGUCCGAUACUGGAUGGCUUGAAUCCGGGAGAGGGAUGCAGAAUUCCAGGUGUAGCGGUGAAAUGCGUAGAUAUCUGGAGGAAUACCGGUGGCGAAGGCGGCAUCCUGGACCGGCAUUGACGCUGAGGCGCGAAAGCUAGGGGAGCAAACGGGG
rnacentral:rRNA from 1 species